CCUACGGGUGGCAGCAGUGGGGAAUAUUGGACAAUGGGGGCAACCCUGAUCCAGCCAUGCCGCGUGUGUGAAGAAGGCCCUCGGGUUGUAAAGCACUUUCAGUGAGGAAGAACGCCUGGUGGUUAAUACCCAUCAGGAAGGACAUCACUCACAGAAGAAGCACCGGCUAACUCCGUGCCAGCAGCCGCGGUAAUACGGAGGGUGCGAGCGUUAAUCGGAAUUACUGGGCGUAAAGCGCGCGUAGGUGGCUUGAUAAGCCGGUUGUGAAAGCCCCGGGCUCAACCUGGGAACGGCAUCCGGAACUGUCAAGCUAGAGUGCAGGAGAGGAAGGUAGAAUUCCCGGUGUAGCGGUGAAAUGCGUAGAGAUCGGGAGGAAUACCAGUGGCGAAGGCGGCCUUCUGGACUGACACUGACACUGAGGUGCGAAAGCGUGGGUAGCAAACAGGAUUAGAUACCCCGGUAGUC
rnacentral:rRNA from 1 species